rnacentral:rRNA from 1 species
AUUGAACGCUGGCGGAAUGCUUUACACAUGCAAGUCGAACGGUAGAGGGGGCAACCCCUCGAGAGUGGCGAACGGGUGAGUAAUAUAUCGGAUGGUGUCCAGUCGGGGGGGAUAACGGAGCGAAAGUUACGCUAAUACCGCAUACGAUCGAAGGAUGAAAGUGGGGGAUCGCAAGACCUCGCGCGAUUGGAGCGGCCCAUAUCAGAUUAGGUAGUUGGUGGGGUAAGGGCUCACCAAGCCAACGAUCUGUAGCUGGUCUGAGAGGACGACCAGCAACACUGGAACUGAGACACGGUCCAGACGCCUACGGGAGGCAGCAGUGGGGAAUUUUGGACAAUGGACGCAAGUCUGAUCCAGCCAUUCCGCGUGCAGGAUGAAGGCCCUCGGGUUGUAAACUGCUUUUGUACGGAACGAAAAGGUCUCUCUUAAUACGGGGGGCUCAUGACGGUACCGUAAGAAUAAGCACCGGCUAACUACGUGCCAGCCGCCGCGGUAA